rnacentral:rRNA from 1 species
CCUGUUUAACAAAAACAUCUUUUCUUGUUAGUUUCUGAAGUAUGGCCUGCCCGCUGACGUAUUUUUAGUUGAAGGGCCGCGGUAUUUUGACCGUGCAAAGGUAGCAUAGUCAUUAGUUCUUUAAUUGUGAUCUGGUAUGAAUGGCUUGACGAGACAUGGGCUGUCUUGGGUGUAGAAUUUGUUGUUGAAUUUGGAGUUUAAGUUAAAAUUCUUAGAUGUUUUUAUGGGACGAGAAGACCCUAUAGAGUUUGACAUUUGAUUACGUAUUUCUUAUUGUUUGUUUUGAAUUUUUGCGUAUCUUUUGUUUUGUUGGGGUGAUGGGAGGAAUUUAUUUAACUCCUCUUUUAUGUGGUAUACUGAUUUGUAUUUGUUUUGAUCCCAUUUAUU